rnacentral:tmRNA from 1 species
GGGGCCGACUUGGUUUCGACGUGGGUCAAGAAGAAGAGCAGGGCAUGCCGAGGACCGUUUACCUCGUAAAUACAUUCGGAAAAAAUUAAACGCCAACGAUGAGCGUUUUGCACUCGCAGCCUAAAUAGCUGGCGAGCGCUGCACUAACUCUCUGGUGGGUUAGGUGGGUCUUCCACUGCAGUGUCAUUUACAUCAGAUCGGCCGUGAUAGCGCCAUGAUAUUACUGCCUAAAACUAAUGGAUCGUUUAGUAUCAGUUUGUUAAUUGACUAAGUACUAAAUUAAACUACAAUAAUUAACUAAGCAUGUAGAACUGUCUUUGGAAGUCUUGCGGACGCGGGUUCGAUUCCCGCCGGCUCCACCA